rnacentral:tRNA from 1 species
AGCCCCGUGGUGUAGCAGGUCAAGCAUGCCAGGCUCUGGACCUGGCGAUCCCGGGUUCGAAUCCCGGCGGGGCUACCA